CAGGCCUAACACAUGCAAGUCGAACGCCGUAGCAAUACGGAGUGGCAGACGGGUGAGUAACGCGUGGGAACCUACCUUACGGUCGGGAAUAGCUCAGGGAAACUUGGGGUAAUACCGGAUACGCCCUUACGGGGAAAGAUUUAUCGCCGUUAGAUGGGCCCGCGUAGGAUUAGCUAGUUGGUGAGGUAACGGCUCACCAAGGCGACGAUCCUUAGCUGGUCUGAGAGGAUGAUCAGCCACACUGGGACUGAGACACGGCCCAGACUCCUACGGGAGGCAGCAGUGGGGAAUAUUGGACAAUGGGCGCAAGCCUGAUCCAGCCAUGCCGCGUGAGUGACGAAGGCCUUAGGGUUGUAAAGCUCUUUUGGCGGGGAAGAUAAUGACGGUACCCGCAGAAUAAGCUCCGGCUAACUUCGUGCCAGCAGCCGCGGUAAU
rnacentral:rRNA from 1 species